rnacentral:rRNA from 1 species
AGGGUUUGAUUCUGGCUCAGGAUGAACGCUAGCUACAGGCUUAACACAUGCAAGUCGAGGGGCAGCGGGAUUGAAGCUUGCUUCAAUUGCCGGCGACCGGCGCACGGGUGAGUAACACGUAUCCAACCUUCCGUUUACUCGGGGAUAGCCUUUCGAAAGAAAGAUUAAUACCCGAUAGUAUGGUGAGAUUGCAUGAUAGCACCAUUAAAGAUUCAUCGGUAAACGAUGGGGAUGCGUUCCAUUAGGUAGUAGGCGGGGUAACGGCCCACCUAGCCUGCGAUGGAUAGGGGUUCUGAGAGGAAGGUCCCCCACAUUGGAACUGAGACACGGUCCAA